UUUAGAUUUCAGAUUUCUGCUCAAAUAAGACAUGUCCAGCCUAUCAUCGGUGCGUGAGCGGAAAAAAGAAAGCGUUAUGCAUCAUCAGUGAAUGCUCGACGCAAAAUUUAACGCUCAAGAAUGGUUUUUUAACCUUGAAUCGCUUGCUUAUUGGUGAUAUUUUGGAAUUCACUUGCGCUAAUGGCUACUCAAAAAGAAACGUCACCUUCCGGUGUCUUAGUAGUGGGAACAUUGAAAACGCUGAAAAAUUAGCAUGUUACAAAAAAGAAGGCCCAUGGACGAUUGUCUUCAAAACCCAGAGUAACAGUGGAGCCCAUCCUUUACAAUCGUACAACAACACCGGAACACAACAAGAAAGAAACUCUUCUUUCCCGUCAACCUGUGUGACUCUGGCUAAAGUACCCGGAUGUACUACCCCCUACAGAACAGCACUCAUUGACGACUGGGAACAAUUGAAG